AACAAGGAUUCCCCCAGUAACGGCGAGUGAAGUGGGAAAAGCUCAACUUUGAAAUCUGGCUGUUUUACAGUCCGAGUUGUAGUCUCGAGAAGUGUUUUCCGCGUUAAACCGUGUAUGAGUCUGUUGGAACACAGCGUCAUAGAGGGUGAGAACCCCGUUCAUGACACGGCUUUUAAUGCUUUGUGAUACACUUUCGAUGAGUCGAGUUGUUUGGGAAUGCAGCUCAAAUUGGGUGGUAAAUUCCAUCUAAAGCUAAAUAUUGGCGAGAGACCGAUAGCAAACAAGUACCGUGAGGGAAAGAUGAAAAGCACUUUGGAAAGAGAGUUAAAAGUACGUGAAAUUGUCGAAAGGGAAACGCUUGAAGUCAGACGUGCACGGGAUUUAUUCCUAUUGCAGGCCAACAUCGGUUUUACGAGCCGGAUAAAGGUACAAGGAAGGUAGCAGUUUCGGCUGUGUUAUAGCCUCGUACUGAAUACGGAUUGUGAGACCGAGGGACGCAGCGCGCCGCAAGGCAAAGGGUCCGCCCUUUUCGCGCUUAGGAUGUUGG
rnacentral:rRNA from 1 species